rnacentral:lncRNA from 1 species
UCGGGGCAAGCAAACGGGAUCAACCAUGAAACAAGCACGUCACAGAUGAUAACAAUAUAGGCAGAUGCUAACUUGAAUUCGACACUAUACAACAGAACCAUAGAGAAGGGGGCCGAAUUGAGCAGGUGCAUAGCAGAUUGAGACUGGCUUCCUUAGUUUGGAGAGAAGACAAAUCCGAGAAGAACUGGAGUGUAUCUUGGAGCCGGGACCUUUCAGCAGCUGCGGUGGUCAUGUCUCUCCAGCGAACGGACCCUGCCGAUGUAGAGGCGAGGACGACGACGGUUCGGAAGGGGAUGGAGAUGGGGAUGGCAAGAGGAGAGUCGGGGCGAGGGCGGAGGGGCCGCGACGGAGGAAAGUCGAGGCGACGGAGGAGCGGCGGCGACGAAGGAGAAGCGAGUUGUGAGGCGAGAGGAGAGGCGAGUCGAGUCGGCGGGGAACGUCGGGAACGCCGCCCGGUGUGACGAGGCCGGACAGGUUUCCCCGUCAAAACCCGGCUUCUGCGGGGGCAGAG